UAGCGAAGGGGGCUAGCGUUGUUCGGAAUUACUGGGCGUAAAGCGCACGUAGGCGGAUAUUUAAGUCAGGGGUGAAAUCCCAGAGCUCAACUCUGGAACUGCCUUUGAUACUGGGUAUCUUGAGUAUGGAAGAGGUAAGUGGAAUUGCGAGUGUAGAGGUGAAAUUCGUAGAUAUUCGCAGGAACACCAGUGGCGAAGGCGGCUUACUGGUCCAUAACUGAACGCU
rnacentral:rRNA from 1 species